rnacentral:lncRNA from 1 species
GAGCCAACCUGGCCUGGUGACCUUCUCUGUGCAAGCAGGGAGCAGGCACACACCACCAAUGAGUGAAGAAGGCUGCUGUGGCAUGCUCGGGACCUAGAGGGAACCUGCCUCAUUGACAGGGGACAGCAGCUGCACAGCUCCAGACAAUCGUUGUCAAGGACGGGAAUGAGAUUCUAACAUGGCUGAUCUGAUUUUUCAAGAAAGGUGAAAGACCCAAAUUCAUGGAAGAGAAGUGAGUCACACAGGGAGCCAGUGGCAGAGCCACACCCCACAGAGCAAUCAACAUGCUCUACUCUGCAGACCUGCAACAGGGAGGGAAGCCAGACUCUGAUGCAAGAAGGAAAGACCAUGUGCUGGCUCAGUGUGUGCAGCCUGGACUGAGCUACUGAACUCUAAAUCCAAGGAUGACUAAUGAGCAAAGGCCCAGAGAGCGAGGAAGCCAGGAGAUGAGCUCUCCCACCUUGUGACUGGGAUUGCGGAGCAGGUGGCAUGACAGACCCUGGGGAAAACGGCAUCUCUUUCUUGGGAAAUUGUCGCUUCUCUUUUUCCCUUUUGGAUCAACACAUUUCAGGACUCGGCCAAACAGUGUAUUUAAAGAGAAAAAAGAGGACGAGAGAGCCAACGCAAAAUUAACCUAACACUCGGCAAAUAACAGGGAUCUGCAGCAAAGUUUUAGUAUUCUUGCAACCACAUUUCAGUUUAGCUUAAUUUAGCCAAUUCCCCAAAUGUGCAGGGUUUCCCAAUUUGGAAGAUGGUAUAGAUAAAAGAAUAUACGUGUAUGCAUGCACACACAUACACAUAACCACACAUCGGUGCACAUACCGCUCUGGGUCAGAAAACCCCGACUCUGCCCCCUUAUUGGCUGUAUGACCCCGAGUGGCUUAAUUAAUCAUGCUGAUCCCCAGCUUUCUCAUCCGUAUAUUAAAAAUAUGCCUAUUUCAUGAGUUACAAUA